UUUAGCCUAUCCAAGGUUAAGAAGGGGGAAAAAACCCGUGGUGAAUUAUCAGAAGAACAGACUAAAAGUUACCAGACCACACCGAAGGCUGAUUUAUUUCCAUCAGACUUUACGAACAUGUUUCUGGACUGUGGGAGAACAAUACAAACUCCACAGUAGGACCCAACAAACACUGUUCAUCUGCUGUAGCACCUCACAUUAAGAGGCCCUUAACAACUUGUUACUGUAAUCAGCUGAAACCUUUCAC